rnacentral:rRNA from 1 species
GACGAACGCUGGCGGCGUGCUUAACACAUGCAAGUCGAACGGAAAGGCCCUGCUUUUGUGGGGUGCUCGAGUGGCGAACGGGUGAGUAACACGUGAGUAACCUGCCCUUGACUUUGGGAUAACUUCAGGAAAAUGGGGCUAAUACCGGAUAGGAGCUCCUGCUGCAUGGUGGGGGUUGGAAAGUUUCGGCGGUUGGGGAUGGACUCGCGGCUUAUCAGCUUGUUGGUGGGGUAGUGGCUUACCAAGGCUUUGACGGGUAGCCGGCCUGAGAGGGUGACCGGCCACAUUGGGACUGAGAGACGGCCCAGACGGCUACGGGAGGCAGCAGUGGGGAAUAUGGCAGAAUGGGCGGAAGCCUGAUGCAGCAACGCCGCGUGCGGGAUGACGGCCUUCGGGGUGUAAACCGCUGUCGCCGGUGACGAAGCGGGAGUGACGGUAAUGGGUAAAAAAGCACCGGCUAACUACGUG